rnacentral:rRNA from 1 species
GAUGAACGCUGGCGGCGUGCCUAACACAUGCAAGUCGAGCGAGGGUUUGCUCAGUAUUGAGUAUUCUAAAACUAGAAUGUUCAAUUCUGAGCAAAACCAAGCGGCGGACGGGUGAGUAACGCGUGGGUAACCUGCCCUAUACACAUGGAUAACAUACUGAAAAGUUUACUAAUACAUGAUAAUAUAUAUUUGUGGCAUCGCAGAUAUAUCAAAGUGUUAGCGGUAUAGGAUGGACCCGCGUCUGAUUAGCUAGUUGGUGAGAUAACUGCCCACCAAGGCGACGAUCAGUAGCCGACCUGAGAGGGUGAUCGGCCACAUUGGAACUGAGACACGGUCCAAACUCCUACGGGAGGCAGCAGUGGGGAAUAUUGCACAAUGGGCGAAAGCCUGAUGCAGCAACGCCGCGUGAACGAUGAAGGUCUUCGGAUCGUAAAGUUCUGUUGCAGGGGAAGA